AUGUAUAUUGGGCUCAAAGGAAAUGGCUGUUCAACUUCAGAACUAAAUUUCUUUUCUCUCUCCUUCAAUCAGUAUAGCGAUGCGGCGCUACAACCUCAUUCUCUCAUCCUUGAUACAUCCUCUCAAUUAUCUCAUCCUCACAGCCGUUCAUCGCUGUUCACCACCAUGGCCGAUACAACAAAUUCUAUCAACAAUUUGCGGCGGAUUCAUCUCCUCAAACAUCCACCACAAUUUUUCACACCACCACCAUACUAUUUCCCUCUGCAUGUCUUAACGCUCAUCCUCUCAACAUCUCCAAACGGUUCCAUUUUGUCAUAA